CCAUCCUGAUUGGGAUCUGUUCGUGGUUUUGGUUGACUGGCUGGUGCGUCGUGCCAUUGCUGGUGCUUGAGGUUGUCUCGCUGGUUUCCUUGCAGUAUCGUCGAUCUGUGCAUCCAGGCACCCCAAGCUUUUCCUCGCGCGAUGGCAUCAGGCGCACGGAGGGAGCUCUUCUCCGUCGAUGUGGUGAACAACUACCGUGAUCUCCGUUCCACGGCGUCACCGGCUAGCAAGUCAACACACAACACGAUUGUAGAGUGGUAAGUCCAGGCACCCCAAGCCUGUCCACGGUGCCACAAAUGAACAAGGCCGAGACAAGCAUCGUAAGGAUCCAGUUAGAAUGAUGAUUGAUAUCCUGUUAGAGCAUCUU